rnacentral:lncRNA from 1 species
CAACGCCCUUAUGUGCCCCCACAGCCAUGUUAGGGACAGGAGGAGAACCUCAUCCUAACAUGAGCAAAGUCGAAGGCCUGAUUCUCCUUAGACCGGAUGGGGAGAGAGGCCCUGCAACGCCCAUAUGUGCCCCCACAGUCCUGCUAGAAAUAGGAGGAGAACCUCAUCCUAACUUGAGCUGAAAUCGACUACAUCAGGAACAAAAGGAGAACCUCAUCCUGACGCUAACUAAGAUCCGGUCAUUCAAGACCAGAUAAGAAAAAAGAAAACCUUCUCGACGGCCCCUCCA